rnacentral:misc_RNA from 1 species
AGCAGUUUUGAAACAAGUAUCCAUAAAAUAUCAUUAACACAAUCCAAAUUAGACCAAGUUUUAUAUGAUAUCACACCAGAGGGAUGGCUAUCAGCGCAGGAAAAAGAAAAAGAAAUUUUGACUAAUUUUCAACUUUAGAAUCCAGUCCAAACUACAACAAAAGGUCUGCCACUUAAAAGGGAUCGACUAGAAGGAAGAGAAGCUAGCCUAAGACAAGUUGAGUUGGCUUCAUGACAAAACCACUCCUCUGGAAAUCAUUUUAUAGGAAGACUCAAAUCAUACUUAAGAUU